UAAAACAUUACAAUUCUGAAAACGAUUACAGUGCAUUAGUAUUUUAACAGUGUCUUCUAAAUUUCAUUUUCAAAGAUAGACAUAUCAAGCCAGCAAUUAGCUUCAUGAGUAGCUAUCUUAGCUCAGAGAAAAUAAGUGGCAAUGCAUUGUGCAUUAGUGACAUCAGUGGGUCAAGGAUUAAGGAUUAACACAUAUAUGUAUACAUCACAUUCACAAGCCGAACUUCUUACACAUCUGCAUAUAACAAAGAUAAGUGGCCUUGUUCUUCAGUUUUAGAGGCCAGAGUUAGCACCAGAGCCAUGUUUUAGGGAUAGGACCUUAUCUCCAGGAUCCAUCACCCAUUUUUUCUCUCACAUUUCCACCAUUGAUACAUUCUUUCAACAUCGUCCUCUCCAAUGCUAACACGUGUCAGCCCUUUUAGCUACAUACUAUGAGUGAAUGUGUCUUGCUAUUCUUUUCCACUUAAACUUUCAUUUGAUUCAAAACCUUAUGAUUUUAAAA
rnacentral:misc_RNA from 1 species